GACGAACGCUGGCGGCGUGCUUAACACAUGCAAGUCGAACGGAAAGGCCCUGCUUGCAGGGUGCUCGAGUGGCGAACGGGUGAGUAACACGUGGGUGAUCUGCCCCUUACUUUGGGAUAAGCCUGGGAAACUGGGUCUAAUACUGGAUAGGACCAUGCUGUAGGUGGUGUGGUGGAAAGAUUGGUUUCGGUAAGGGAUGAGCUCGCGGCCUAUCAGCUUGUUGGUGGGGUAAUGGCCUACCAAGGCGUCGACGGGUAGCCGGCCUGAGAGGGUGGACGGCCACAUUGGGACUGAGAUACGGCCCAGACUCCUACGGGAGGCAGCAGUGGGGAAUAUUGCACAAUGGGCGCAAGCCUGAUGCAGCGACGCCGCGUGGGGGAUGACGGCCUUCGGGUUGUAAACUCCUUUCAGCCAUGACGAAGCCCUUGUGGUGACGGUAGUGGUAGAAGAAGCACCGGCUAACUACGUG
rnacentral:rRNA from 1 species